UGGAGACACAAAGGUGUUGAGUAACCUGUCUACACAGCCGGAGUCACAGAGCCAAGACGCAACGGCUCACCUGUCCACAGCCCACCUGUCCUGAUCACAGACGGGACACAUCUGUGCCGGGAGAGCGAGGAGUCCACCAGAGCCAGAGAGCUCAUCAUCACAAGAGAACUAUUUGCAGAGCCCUUGGAAUAGGAGACAUCCGGAGAAGUGCUGUUGUGUGGAUGGCAGAGAAUCACAUAAAAUGGCACUCGGAGGGGAGCGAAGUUUUUCGGAGUCGCAUCCUUGCCAGUCUCCCCGCAGCGUUAGGCGCUCCAGCCUUUCAGCUCUGGCCUGUCCCGCCAAAUAUUUCACCCUGAAGUUGAUGCACUUUGUAUCGCAGAUUGUCAUCUUCCUUGUGAAAGUAUUUCCAACUUUUUAAAUAUCCAUGAUUUUAGAA